UUCGGUAUCCUGUGUUGCUUACCUAUUGAAAGGAAUCMGACGGUCUCAUUCGUCCCUCUCUGCCCCCAGCCCUCGUGGGUUACGGGGUGGACAUCAGGCACGCCCCAUGUUCUCGGUAAGCCUCGCCCAAUUGCUUGGCUGCCUCGGCCGAAGGUAUGCUAUGCUCUUUCUCUCGGACGCAGAACAUUAUAGGCAGGCGUGAGGUCUGUCAACUCUAUUUGCACGAGCAAAGUAACUGUCCCUUGAUACGAACGACUGCCAGGCACGUAUUAAGCCGACGGCCUCACGGCCCAUCGAGUGUCAUGUGGACAUCGGCAUC
rnacentral:misc_RNA from 1 species